GGACAGGCGAGCGAUCGCCCCGGACGAGCGCGUCGUACCCGGCACGACAAGACGGCGCAGG
rnacentral:ncRNA from 1 species